rnacentral:rRNA from 1 species
CGAUGUCUACUUGGAGGUUGGUGUCUUGAACACUGGCUUUCGGAGCUAACGCGUUAAGUAGACCGCCUGGGGAGUACGGUCGCAAGAUUAAAACUCAAAUGAAUUGACGGGGGCCCGCACAAGCGGUGGAGCAUGUGGUUUAAUUCGAUGCAACGCGAAGAACCUUACCUACUCUUGACAUCCACGGAAUCCUGCAGAGAUGCGGGAGUGCCUUCGGGAACCGUGAGACAGGUGCUGCAUGGCUGUCGUCAGCUCGUGUUGUGAAAUGUUGGGUUAAGUCCCGCAACGAGCGCAACCCUUAUCCUUGUUUGCCAGCACUUCGGGUGGGAACUCCAGGGAGACUGCCGGUGAUAAACCGGAGGAAGGUGGGGACGACGUCAAGUCAUCAUGGCCCUUACGAGUAGGGCUACACACGUGCUACAAUGGCAUAUACAGAGGGCAGCAAGACCGCGAGGUGGAGCGAAUCCCACAAAGUAUGUCGUAGUCCGGAUUGGAGUCUGCAACUCGACUCCAUGAAGUCGGAAUCGCUAGUAAUCGUGGAUCAGAAUGCCACGGUGAAUACGUUCCCGGGCCUUGUACACACCGCCCGUCACACCAUGGGAGUGGGCUGCACCAGGAGUAGAUAGCUUAACCUUCGGGAGGGCGUUUA